GUGCCGUUAGCUCAGCUGGUAGAGCGGAGGACUCUAAAUCCUCUGGUCAGGGGUUCGAGCCCCCUACGGCGCACCA
rnacentral:tRNA from 1 species